rnacentral:rRNA from 1 species
ACGGGUAACGGGGAAUCAGGGUUCGAUUCCGGAGAGGGAGCCUGAGAAACGGCUACCACAUCCAAGGAAGGCAGCAGGCACGCAAAUUACCCACUCCCGGCACGGGGAGGUAGUGACGAAAAAUAACAAUACGGGACUCUAAUGAGGCCCCGUAAUUGGAAUGAGUACAAUCUAAAUCCUUUAACGAGGAUCAAUUGGAGGGCAAGUCUGGUGCCAGCAGCCGCGGUAAUUCCAGCUCCAAUAGCGUAUAUUAAAGUUGUUGCGGUUAAAAAGCUCGUAGUUGGAUCUCAGUCCAUGUUAGGUGGUCCACUUGCCGGUGGUUACUACUUAGCUGGACAUUUUACAGACCUGUCUUGUGAUGCUCUUCACCGGGUGUCAUAAGCGAUCUGUACGUUUACUUUGAAAAAAUUAGAGUGCUUAAAGCAGGCUAAUGUCUGAAUAAUCUUGCAUGGAAUAAUGGAAUAGGACCUCGGUUCUAUUUUGUUGGUCUUCGGAUCCUGAGGUAAUGAUUAAGAGG